rnacentral:rRNA from 1 species
UGGUGGAUCAGUGGCGAACGGGUGAGUAACACGUGAGCAACCUGCCCUUGACUCUGGGAUAAGCGCUGGAAACGGCGUCUAAUACUGGAUAUGAACUGCGGAGGCAUCUUCGGCAGUUGGAAAGAUUUUUCGGUCUGGGAUGGGCUCGCGGCCUAUCAGCUUGUUGGUGAGGUAAUGGCUCACCAAGGCGUCGACGGGUAGCCGGCCUGAGAGGGUGACCGGCCACACUGGGACUGAGACACGGCCCAGACUCCUACGGGAGGCAGCAGUGGGGAAUAUUGCACAAUGGGCGGAAGCCUGAUGCAGCAACGCCGCGUGAGGGAUGACGGCCUUCGGGUUGUAAACCUCUUUUAGCAGGGAAGAAGCGAGAGUGACGGUACCUGCAGAAAAAGCGCCGGCUAACUACGUGCCAGCAGCCGCGGUAAUACGUAGGGCGCAAGCGUUAUCCGGAAUUAUUGGGCGUAAAGAGCUCGUAGGCGGUUUGUCGCGUCUGCUGUGAAAUCCCGAGGCUCAACCUCGGGUCUGCAGUGGGUACGGGCAGACUAGAGUGCGGUAGGGGAGAUUGGAAUUCCUGGUGUAGCGGUGGAAUGCGCAGAUAUCAGGAGGAACACCGAUGGCGAAGGCAGAUCUCUGGGCCGUUACUGACGCUGAGGAGCGAAAGGGUGGGGAGCAAACAGGCUUAGAUACCCUGGUAGUCCACCCCGUAAACGUUGGGAACUAGUUGUGGGGACCAUUCCACGGUUUCCGUGACGCAGCUAACGCAUUAAGUUCCCCGCCUGGGGAGUACGGCCGCAAGGCUAAA